UACGUAGGGACCGAGCGUUGUCCGGAAUCAUUGGGCGUAAAGAGCGUGUAGGCGGCCACUUAAGUCCUGCGUGAAAUCUUGCGGCUCAACCGCAAGCGGUCGUGGGAAACUGGGUGGCUAGAGUGCGGGAGAGGAGAGUGGAAUUCCGGGUGUAGCGGUGGAAUGCGUAGAGAUCCGGAAGAACACCGGUGGCGAAGGCGGCUCGCUGGGCAGUGGCUGACGCUGAGGCGCGAAAGCGUGGGGAGCGAACAGG
rnacentral:rRNA from 1 species